UCAAGCUACAAAGGGCGCAGGGCGAAUGCCUUGGCACUGGGAGCCGAAGAAGGACGUGGUUAACUGCGAUAAGCUGCGGGGAGUCGUAAGCAGACGUUAUAUCCGCAGAUUUCCGAAUGGGGCAACCCGGCUGAUUGCAGAUCAGUCAACAUAUACUGAAUAAAAUAGGUAUAUGUGGGGAACCGCCUGAACUGAAACAUCUAAGUAGGGCGAGGAAGAGAAAUCAAACGAGAUUCCGUAAGUAGUGGCGAGCGAACGCGGAAGAGGCCAAACCGAGGGUAGAAAUACCUUCGGGGUUCGGACAGCGAUAUGUAGGCAAAAGGUUAGUCGAAGUGUGUGGGAAAGCACAUCAAAGAGGGUGAUAAUCCCGUAGACGAAAGCUGAUUGCCGCUAGCUGUAUCCAGAGUACCGCCGGACACGUGAAACCCGGUGGGAACAUGGGGGGACCACCCUCCAAGCCUAAAUACUACCCAGUGACCGAUAGAGUAAUAGUACUGUGAAGGAAAGGUGAAAAGGACCCCGGGAGGGGAGUGAAAAAGAACCUGAAACCCUGUGCCUACAAGCACCGAGAGCACGUCAAAGUGUGAUCGGGUACCUAUUGUAGAAUGGUCCGGCGAGUGUGUGUAACCAGCAAGGUUAAGAGCUUAAGGCUCGGAGCCGCAGCGAAAGCGAGUCUGAACAGGGCGUAUGAAGUUGGUUGUACACGACCCGAAACCGGGUGACCUACCCAUGUCCAGGAUGAAGUGGAGGUAAAACUCCAUGGAGGUCCGAACACACGUCCGUUGAAAUGGCCGGUGAUGAGGUGUGGGUAGCGGAGAAAUUCCAAUCGAACCCGGAUAUAGCUGGUUCUCUCCGAAAUAGCUUUAGGGCUAGCGUUGUCUUAGAUUACCGGGGGUAAAGCACUGAACGGGCUAGGGGCUGAAAAGUUACUGAACCCUAUCAAACUAAGAAUACCGGAUAAUCGAUGGACGGCAGUCAGACUAUGAGAGAUAAGUUCCAUGGUCAAAAGGGAAAGAGCCCAGACCCACAGCUAAGGUCCCAAAGUACAGUUAAGUGGAAAAGGAUGUGGAAUUGCACAGACAACCAGGAUGUUGGCUUAGAAGCAGCCACUCAUUAAAAGAGUGCGUAAUAGCUCACUGGUCGAGUGACUCUGCGCCGAAAAUUCAACGGGGCUAAAUUGUACACCGAAGCUUGGGAAGUUAGAUGUUAGACGGUAGAGAUUAGAAAGUAGAUGUUUGUAUGAGCGGAUAUAAAGAAUUGAAGGUAUAUAAAAGGUCAUAUAAAGCGGCGAAAGCAAUAUAUGAAAUGACCGUAGGAUUUCCAAAUGAGGAAAGGUACGGAAUAACCAAUCAAUUAAGACGUGCGGCAUUAAGCAUACCGUUAAAUAUAGCGGAAGGAUAUGCUAAGAGAGAAAGUCAGGAGGAAUUUAAAAGAUUUCUGAUGAAGGCGCUCGGUUCUUCAAAUGAAGUACUGGUGCUGAUAGACUUUUCAAAAGACGUAGGUUAUAUAUCCGACGAAAAACACAGGAAAGCGUUUGCAGAGUAUGAGGAAAUAGCAAGUAUGUUAAAUUCAUUCAUACAAAGUGCAAAGACAAAGGUCUAAAAUCUAAUAUCUAGCGUCUAACAUCUAACUUGGUAGGAGAGCGUUCUCUGCGGGGUGAAGCAUGAGCGGAAGCGCGUGUGGACUUCAGAGAAGUGAGAAUGCCGGAAUGAGUAGCGAGAAUUAUGUGAGAAUCAUAAUGGCCGAAAGCCUCAGGUUUUAGAAGGAAGGUUCGUCCGCUUCUAGUUAGCCGGGAGCUAAGGCGAGGCCGAAAGGCGUAGCCGAUGCACAUACGGUAGACAAUCCGUAGCUGCCAAAAGAUUUAAAUUAGGGGACACUCUGAAAGGGUACAUCCCGGGCGUUGGUUGACCCGGGCGUAAGGGAGCGAAUUAUUCGCGAAGUGUGCUUGGACGGAGGCGAGAAAAGCCUAAUGUAUAUCUGCGGCACCCGUACCGCAAACCGACACAGGUAGGUAGGAGGAGAACUCUAAGGCCAACGGGAGAAGAGUUGUUAAGGAACUCGGCAAAUUGACCCCGUAACUUCGGGAAAAGGGGUGCUCAUAGCAAUAUGAGCCGCAGUGAAUAGGCCCAGGCAACUGUUUAUCAAAAACACAGGUCUCUGCUAAAUCGAAAGAUGAAGUAUAGGGGCUGACGCCUGCCCGGUGCUGGAAGGUUAAGAGGAGGAGUGCAAGCCCCGAAUCGAAGCCCCAGUAAACGGCGGCCGUAACUAUAACGGUCCUAAGGUAGCGAAAUUCCUUGUCGGGUAAGUUCCG
rnacentral:rRNA from 1 species